rnacentral:snRNA from 1 species
GGAUGUGAGGGCAAUCUGGCUGCGACAUCUGUCACCCCAUUGAUCACCAGGGUUGAUUCGGCUGAUCUGGCUUGCUAGGCGGGUGUCCCCUUCCUCCCCCACCGCUCCAUGUGCGUCCCUCCUGAAGCUGUGUGCUUGGUGGAAGAGGACGUACUCCCAGAUAGGAGUACCGUUCUUCGGUCAAGGGUAUACGAUGUGCUGUAAUGUAUUUCCUUCAGCAGUUUUACAUGGUAGAUAAUAGAUAUCAGAGGACACCUAAGGAAGAAAGGUUAUGCUUACACUGCGAAAUGGCUGUGCCCGAGAUGGACAAGCAUAUAAUUCUAUAUUGCCCAGCUUU